CGCUGGCGGCGUGCCUAAUACAUGCAAGUCGAGCGAAUGGAUUAAGAGCUUGCUCUUACUGAAGUUAGCGGCGGACGGGUGAGUAACACGUGGGUAACCUACCCAUAAGACUGGGAUAACUCCGGGAAACCGGGGCUAAUACCGGAUAAUAUUUUGAACUGCAUAGUUCGAAAUUGAAAGGCGGCUUCGGCUGUCACUUAUGGAUGGACCCGCGUCGCAUUAGCUAGUUGGUGAGGUAACGGCUCACCAAGGCGACGAUGCGUAGCCGACCUGAGAGGGUGAUCGGCCACACUGGGACUGAGACACGGCCCA
rnacentral:rRNA from 1 species